GACGUCAAGACCUUUGACUUUACUAGCUACCCUUACAAAAGGCUCAGAGCGAUGCAAUCUGAAGUGACCAAGUUCUGGAAGAGCUGGAGUCAGCUGGCUGGGCCCAACCUUUUCGUGAGAAGCAAGUGGCACAUCACAGAGAGAAAUGUCGCUGUUGGGGACAUCGUCUGGCUGUGUGACCAAAACGCAAUGAGGGGACAGUUCAAGCUUGGCAGAGUCAUCAGCACAAAUCCAGACGGCAAAGGCAUUGUGAGGGAUGUGAAUGUCAGGGUCUUCCCAAGCUACAGUGUUCCUGUGAUUAGACCUGGAAGCGUGAAGAAACCAAAAACUGAUGGGCCAAACUUGAAGGUCCAAGCUACUAUCCUUCACAGAGAUGUCCGGCGACUGGUCAUUCUGUUGCCUGUUGAAGAACAAGUGACUCACUGACGGUAGAUCUCUUUUAAAUUGAGUUUGACUUAGAGGUGGCGACCUUCCCAGUAUGUCUACCGGAAAGAUCGAGUGGGAGGUGUCGAGUCAAACUGUGGUUUUAAUUUUACUUUGGGGUUUAAGAAAAUACACUGAAAAAAAAGAAGAAAUUAACGGACAAAAAAUAGUGAUUUAAUUUUAAAUUGGGAGCGGAAGGACUCACCAGCUCAACUAAUGGUUGACGCAAAGUUCUAACCAACGCAAAAAUAAGCUACGUCAUACACGCGACGCAGACACGAGCAGCAGGUGUUUUAAUUGAGCUUCAAGGAGGCACGAGAGAGAACAAGAGAGCUGUUAGAAAACCACAGCAAAUGCGUGUAAUAAAAACUCUUGUAUUGUACAUACUGAACAUCUUUGAAAUCUGGAGAGGCAGCCGGUUUUUUACCUAAAGGUUAAUGGCAAGAGAAAAUAGCGAGCUACUGUUUAACUGAAAAUAAAAAGGAAAGAAAAGUGAAAACGUA